rnacentral:rRNA from 1 species
CCUACGGGUGACAGCAGUCGAGAAUCAUUCACAAUGGGGGAAACCCUGAUGGUGCGACGCCGCGUGGGGGAAUGCAGGUCUUCGGAUUGUAAACCCCUGUCAUGUGGGAGCAAAUUAAAAAGAUAGUACCACAAGAGGAAGAGACGGCUAAAGCUGUGCCAGCAGCCUCGGUACUUCAGAGGUCCCAAGCGUUUUUCGGAAUCACUGGGCGUAAGGGGUGCUUAGGCUGUUUCGUAAGUCGGAUGUGAAAGGGCCGGGCUCAACCCGGGAACGGCACAUGAGACUGCGAGACUAGAGUAUUGGAGGGGGGACCGGAAUUCUCGGUGUAGCAGUGAAAUGCGUAGAUAUCGGGAGGAACACUCGUGGCGAAGGCAGGUUCCUGGACAUUAACUGACGCUGAGGCACGAAGGCCAGGGGAGCGAAAGGGAUUAGAUACCCGAGUAGUC